CACACAGGGUGUGUGUCUGCGUACGAUCGCAGGAGAAGGGGAAAAAGGGGGUGUAAACCCUAACCACAAAAAAAUCAUCAAUUGAAAAGGAAAUCGCGGGUUGAUUGUGUGCAUGAACCAAGAAUGAUGAUCCCUUAAGCGUUUCUCACAUCAAAUAAUAGGAACGUGUCAAGGAGAGGUCAAGCAUAGGAGGAUAACGGGUCAAGAUAAGGCAAGGUGACAAAUACACUUAUUGGAGUACUCGAGGUAAGUGAAUUUCGAUUCACUUUUUAGUAGGUUUAAUAGAUUUUAAUACUUUUGUUUACGAAGCAUCAUGAAAGAACAUGUAAUAAUCAGAAGUACAAAGCCAAUAAUGCCUCAUUAUUGAAGAAGGUUGUAUUUAAGCCGAAAGUAAAUUGGUGGGUUUAAACGGGUCGAAUUUUAUGUGCAUAUGUUGCGUAAUGUAAUGAAAUUCGUUAUGGUUAAGACCUUGGGUAAGAAUUUUUAGUCAUUAUGUAAGGGGAACAUUUCCCGGACCAUUAGGAACAAGUUUUAUAUGAUUCGGUUGUCGGUUAGUGAAUGAACGGAUUGUUUCGUGUUAGUGUAGGAAAUUUUAUAAGUAUAUGUGUAUAGGAAUCCAAAGGGCACGUGGGUUGAAUCAUAGAUUGUCUAUACUAUGUAAAGUUGUGAAUGUGACAUUCCGACAUAAACCUACAUGUAAAAGAAGCUUGUGUAUAUAUUCGUGAUUAAUUGAUUGUGCGUAGGAAGGAACAUUGGCAUGUAUGAAGGUACGCAUGUAUAUAUAUAAGUGUAUAUAUAUAUAUAUGUAUGUAUGUAUGAUAAUAAGUACGUAGGUGUGAAUGUGUGUGUGAAUGAAUGUUCAAUGCUUAAGACAUAUGCAUGAACGUUAUCAAAGUGUUCGAGUAUUUAUGGAUACUAAUGAUGUGCGUUGAGUUGGAAUGUAAUGUAGGUAUGGGAUCGUUGGCUUCAUGAAGAAAUGGAGCUGGAUUUGGAUAAGAGUAUUUAAGAAAGCGCUUGGACAAUUCCACGACUACUUUAUAGAAUGCUCUACGAAAUUCUAUUAUAUAGUUUAAUGUUGUAUGGUAUGUUAAUGACUAAUGGUUUGGUUGUACGUGGUGUCCACAGGUAUCGCUUGGGUUUUCUCUACAUUUAUUGAAGUGAAGCGGACUUAGUUCGAGUUGAGAGCAAGGAUUGUACGGGGUAGAAUGGUCACAUAGUGUAACUCAUAUAGGUUUUGAAGUAUUAAUGUUAUAAAACGUUAUAAUCCGUUUUAAUGAAUAUAUGGCAUUUCGCAUUUGAACCUUCAUGUGUUUGAUAUGUCUAUUAAAGAACGAAAUUUUUGGGCUCUUGUUUUCCGCUGCGUCGUAUUUUAAGUUAUUACGCGUUAGUCUUACAGGGAAUUGUUCUUAUUACGAACGGGUCAUGCCCGAAUUUUGUUAAAUAAUAGUAUGAUAAUAUUACAUUUUGGAAUGUGUAAUUUGGGCGUAUCAAGUUGGUAUCAGAGCCCUGGUUUGAGGGAAAUCAAGUAUGAGGAGGCAAAUACUUGAACUCAAACCUGUGUGCUCUUGUGACGAGGAACCCGUACAAUCCAAGACUCGAUCAAGAUCUAAAGGUAGAAGCAAAUGUAAGUAUGAAUUUAAGUAUGUUUAUGAAGAAACUAACAUUAUGUUGUGUGUAAGAUAAGCAUAGUUGUUUGGAUGAGGAUGAUCCACGACUGUGGUCUCGGACUGACACCAAGGCAUGUAAUAAGACCAUUGCCCAGGUCAGUGAAAGAAUGUUCAUAAGCGAAAGCUCGUCACACGGAUGAACGAGGUCAAUACGAAACAUGGUAUGGAUGGGGACGAAGAGGACCGACUCGUUGCUGCAUGUCCACAGGUAUCGCUUGGGUUUUCUCUACAUUUAUUGAAGUGAAGCGGACUUAGUUCGAGUUGAGAGCAAGGAUUGUACGGGGUAGAAUGGUCACAUAGUGUAACUCAUAUAGGUUUUGAAGUAUUAAUGUUAUAAAACGUUAUAAUCCGUUUUAAUGAAUAUAUGGCAUUUCGCAUUUGAACCUUCAUGUGUUUGAUAUGUCUAUUAAAGAACGAAAUUUUUGGGCU